GAUGGGGUCGCCGAGUGGUCAGGCACUUACCCGCAAGGUAAGCUACGCAGGUUCGAAUCCUGCCCCCAUCUCCA
rnacentral:tRNA from 1 species